rnacentral:rRNA from 1 species
UACGUAGGGUGCGAGCGUUAAUCGGAAUUACUGGGCGUAAAGCGUGCGCAGGCGGUUCUCCAAGUCCGUUGUGAAAGCCCCGGGCUCAACCUGGGAAUGGCAGUGGAAACUAGGGGACUUGAAUCUGGCAGAGGGGGGUGGAAUUCCACGUGUAGCAGUGAAAUGCGUAGAUAUUGGGAGGAACACCGGUGGCGAAGGCGGCCCCCUGGACCGGUACUGACGCUGAGGCGCGAAAGCGUGGGUAGCAAACGGG